rfam:Oryza rufipogon genomic scaffold, chr09
AAUAAGUGCAGUUUUGCACUGUUCAUCUUCAACGUUUGACCGUUCGUCUUAUUUGAAAAAUUUGUAUGAUUACUAUUUUUAUUGUUAUUAGAUGGUAAAACAUGAAUAGUACUUUAUGUGUAAAUAAUUUUUUAAAAAAAUUUUAUAAAUUUUUUAAAUAAGACGGACGGUCAAAUAUUGGACACGGAUUUUUACAACUGCAUUUAUU